GACGAACGCUGGCGGCGUGCCUAAUACAUGCAAGUUGAGCGAUGAAGAUUGGUGCUUGCACCAAUUUGAAGAGCAGCGAACGGGUGAGUAACGCGUGGGGAAUCUGCCUUUGAGCGGGGGACAACAUUUGGAAACGAAUGCUAAUACCGCAUAACAACUUUAAACAUAAGUUUUAAGUUUGAAAGAUGCAAUUGCAUCACUCAAAGAUGAUCCCGCGUUGUAUUAGCUAGUUGGUGAGGUAAAGGCUCACCAAGGCGAUGAUACAUAGCCGACCUGAGAGGGUGAUCGGCCACAUUGGGACUGAGACACGGCCCAAACUCCUACGGGAGGCAGCAGUAAGGAAUCUUCGGCAAUGGACGAAAGUCUGACCGAGCAACGCCGCGUGAGUGAAGAAGGUUUUCGGAUCGUAAAACUCUGUUGGUAGAGAAGAACGUUGGUGAGAGUGGAAAGCUCAUCAAGUGACGGUAACUACCCAGAAAGGGACGGCUAACUACGUG
rnacentral:rRNA from 1 species